UUCUAGAGCUAAUACAUGCUAAAAACCUCGACUUCGGAAGGGGUGUAUUUAUUAGAUAAAAGACCAAUGCCCUUCGGGGCUCCUUGGUGAUUCAUAAUAACUUAACGAAUCGCAUGGCCUUGCGCCGGCGAUGGUUCAUUCAAAUUUCUGCCCUAUCAACUUUCGAUGGUAGGGUAGUGGCCUACCAUGGUUGCAACGGGUAACGGACGAUUAGGGUUGGACUCCGGAGAGGGAGCCUGAGAAACGGCUACCACAUCCAAGGAAGGCAGCAGGCGCGCAAAUUACCCAAUCCCGACACGGGGAGGUAGUGACAAUAAAUACUGAUACAGGGCUCUUUUGGGUCUUGUAAUUGGAAUGAGUACAAUUUAAAUCUCUUAACGAGGAACAAUUGGAGGGCAAGUCUGGUGCCAGCAGCCGCGGUAAUUCCAGCUCCAAUAGCGUAUAUUAAAGUUGUUGCAGUUAAAAAGCUCGUAGUUGAACCUUGGGUCUGGCUGGCCGGUCCGCCUCACCGCGUGCACUGGUCCGGCCGGAUCUUUCCUUCUGGGGAGCCUCAUGCCCUUCACUGGGUGUGCUGGUCAACCAGGACUUUUACUGUGAAAAAAUUAGAGUGUUCAAAGCAGGCCUAUGCUCGAAUACAUUAGCAUGGAAUAAUAGAAUAGGACGUGUGGUUCUAUUUUGUUGGUUAUAGGACCGCCGUAAUGAUUAAUAGGGAUAGUCGGGGGCAUCAGUAUUCAAUUGUCAGAGGUGAAAUUCUUGGAUUUAUUGAAGACUAACUACUGCGAAAGCAUUUGCCAAGGAUGUUUUCAUUAAUCAGGAACGAAAGUUAGGGGAUCGAAGACGAUCAGAUACCGUCGUAGUCUUAACCAUAAACUAUGCCGACUAGGGAUCGGGCGAUGUUAUUAUUUGACUCGCUCGGCACCUUACGAGAAA
rnacentral:rRNA from 1 species